rnacentral:rRNA from 1 species
UACGAAGGGUGCAAGCGUUACUCGGAAUUACUGGGCGUAAAGCGUGCGUAGGUGGUGUUUUAAGUCUGAUGUGAAAGCCCUGGGCUCAACCUGGGAAUGGCAUUGGAAACUGGAUCACUGGAGUGCGGUAGAGGAUGGCGGAAUUCCCGGUGUAGCAGUGAAAUGCGUAGAGAUCGGGAGGAACAUCCGUGGCGAAGGCGGCCAUCUGGACCAGCACUGACACUGAGGCACGAAAGCGUGGGGAGCAAACAGGAUUAGAUACCCUGUAGUCC